GCAUCCAAAAUCUUUUUAAUAAGAAGGUAGGAUCCAGGGUUAGUUUUUGUAGCCUUGGCUGGCCCCUUGGCCUCUGGCAUACUCGAACUUCCGGCCCUUGGAGCGGACGUAGGGUUUGGUGUGGCUGUGUGGGGUUCCCAGGGCCUUGUCGAAAUGCCAGUACACCUCUCGACCCUUGCGAGGACCUGAGAGCAGGACGGUGCCGCAGACCUUGGGGGAGUCCAGGGCCAGCUGGUCGAAAGUGAGGUUCUUGCCCCCCACCCUGAAGAUGUGGCUGCGGGCCCGGCUGGUCACGCCCAGUGCACACACCUUCAGUUUGGGCACCUCCUGAACCCACACGUCAUCUGUUAUGGUUCCCACAACCACGGCCGUUUUGUUUUCCUGGCCAGGAAGCUUCAUUUUCGGGAUCAUCCGGGAAAGGGACAGAGGUGGCUGGUUGGUGCACUCAUAAACAACCUCUUCAGCACU
rnacentral:lncRNA from 1 species